CGGCCGUGCAAGUCCGUCGGGAAAUCCAUCGGCUUAACCGAUGGGCGUCCGGCGGAAACUGCGCGGCUUGGGGCCGGAGGACCUGAGGGGUACGUCCGGGGUAGGAGUGAAAUCCCGUAAUCCCGGGCGGACCGCCGGUGGCGAAAGCGCCUCAGGAGGACGGACCCGACGGUCAGGGACGAAAGCUAGGGUCUCGAACCGGAUUAGAUACCCGGGUAGUCCUAGCCGUAAACGAUGCCCGCUAGGUGUGGCACCGACUACGAGUCGGUGCUGUGCCGUAGUGAAGACGUGAAGCGGGCCGCCUGGGAA
rnacentral:rRNA from 1 species